rnacentral:tmRNA from 1 species
GGGGCUGACCUGGUUUUGACAGCAUGAGAGGUGGUAUGUAAGCAUGCAGGAUGUGGUGACGCGUUCCUUGAACAGUGUUACAAAACAAUAACUGGCGAAUAUAAUUACGCUCUCGCUGCUUAAGCGAAUCAAGUAACUUAAGCUUAAUCCCGGCACAGGUGUCGGGACGGGACGUCUCCCGGGCGGUCUGGCCCUGAUCCAACCCGACACGGAGGCGCACGCGAUUCGGGGCUAGCCUGAUGAUCGUCCCGCUCUGAUGGCGAAACAACAGGGACUAAGGGCACUUUAGCUUGUUCUGCAGCUGAAGUGUCACGAAAAUCAAGCACGACUAAGCAUGUAGAAAGCGUAUGGUCUCCUUGUUUGGACGCGGGUUCGACUCCCGCCAGCUCCACUA